UGUGUCCUGACAGGUGUGUGCAGGUGAGUCCUGACAGGUGUGUACAGGUGUGUGCAGGUGAGUCCUGACAGGUGUGUGCAGGUGUGUCCUGACAGGUGUGUGCAGGUGUGUGCAGGUGUGUGCAGGUGAGUCCUGACAGGUGUGUACAGGUGU
rnacentral:lncRNA from 1 species